rnacentral:rRNA from 1 species
CGUCUAUAUACGUAUAGCAUAUCAAUAAGCGGAGGAAAAGAAACUAACAAGGAUUCCCUUAGUAACGGCGAGUGAAGCGGGAAGAGCUCAAAUUUGAAAUCUUCAAGGUUCUACCUUGACGAAUUGUAGUUUAAAGAAGUGUUUUCUGUUAGAGGAGUAGCAAAAGUUCCUUGGAAUGGGACAUCAUAGAGGGUGAGAAUCCCGUAUUUGGUUAUUCUUUCUAGCUUUGUGAUACACUUUCAAAGAGUCGGAUUGUUUGGGAAUGCAGUCCAAAAUGGGUGGUAAAUUUCAUCUAAAGCUAAAUAUUGGCGAGAGACCGAUAGCGAACAAGUACCGUGAGGGAAAGAUGAAAAGAACUUUGAAAAGAGAGUUAAACAGUACGUGAAAUUGUCAAAAGGGAAGCGUUUGACACCAGUGUUGUUUUUCCGAAAAUCAAUUAAGAGUGGCUUGAUUUUGUGUUGUAUUGACCUUAUCAGCUUUCUUCACUCUUUUUCGAGUCUUUCUUAAUGCACUUUUCGGUUAACAAGUCAACAUCAAUUUCUUUUGUUGUAAAAGGGUAUUUGGAAGGUGGCUUUCUUUUCGGAGAAAGUGUUUAUAGCCUUAUACCUCUACAAUCGGAGAGAUUGAGGUCUGCAGCGUAGAUCCUUCGGGGCUAGAUACACUUGUGCUAAGUUAUAGCUUUUCAUAGACAACUUGUUGACUAUGUUUAGUCAUGUAGCUUACCCGCCUGUGCUAUUUUACCUACGCUUAGGAUGUUGAGUCAUCACACAUCUCU